rnacentral:rRNA from 1 species
CGCGUAGGUGGCUUCAUAAGUCCGUUGUGAAAGUCAAAGGCUCAACCUUUGAAAGCCGAUGGAUACUGUGAAGCUAGAGUACGGAAGAGGCGAGUGGAAUUCCUGGUGUAGCGGUGGAAUGCGCAGAUAUCAGGAGGAACACCAAUAGCGAAGGCAGCUCGCUGGGACGUUACUGACACUGAGGCGCGAAAGCGUGGGGAGCGAACAGGAUUAGAUACCCUGGUAGUCCACGCCGUAAACGAUGGGUACUAGGUGUGGGAGGUGUCGACUCCUCCCGUGCCGUCGCUAACGCACUAAGUACCCCGCCUGGGGAGUACGGCCGCAAGGCUAAA